rnacentral:rRNA from 1 species
UUCUUUCACCGGAGCUUGCUCCACCGAAAGAAAAAGAGUGGCGAACGGGUGAGUAACACGUGGGUAACCUGCCCAUCAGAAGGGGAUAACACUUGGAAACAGGUGCUAAUACCGUAUAACACUAUUUUCCGCAUGGAAGAAAGUUGAAAGGCGCUUUUGCGUCACUGAUGGAUGGACCCGCGGUGCAUUAGCUAGUUGGUGAGGUAACGGCUCACCAAGGCAACGAUGCAUAGCCGACCUGAGAGGGUGAUCGGCCACACUGGGACUGAGACACGGCCCAGACUCCUACGGGAGGCAGCAGUAGGGAAUCUUCGGCAAUGGACGAAAGUCUGACCGAGCAACGCCGCGUGAGUGAAGAAGGUUUUCGGAUCGUAAAACUCUGUUGUUAGAGAAGAACAAGGAUGAGAGUAAAACGUUCAUCCCUUGACGGUAUCUAACCAGAAAGCCACGGCUAACUACGUGCCAGCAGCCGCGGUAAUACGUAGGUGGCAAGCGUUGUCCGGAUUUAUUGGGCGUAAAGCGAGCGCAGGCGGUUUCUUAAGUCUGAUGUGAAAGCCCCCGGCUCAACCGGGGAGGGUCAUUGGAAACUGGGAGACUUGA